rfam:Medicago truncatula strain A17 chromosome 8, whole genome shotgun sequence.
AAACAGCCCUCUAUGUUUUGAUUCUUUGGCGGUUUUGGCCCCCAAGGCAAAAUAAAAAAUAAAAAAUUUGACACGUGGCACCUCACUUAGGGUGCCACGUCAGCGUUGACCGAGUCAACAAUGAAUUAGGGGUUCAAAACUGCCAAAGAAUCAAAACAUAGGGGGUUGAUU